UACGGGGGGGGGCAAGCGUUGUUCGGAAUUACUGGGCGUAAAGGGCCAGUAGGCGGCCAACUCAGUCGGAUGUGAAAUCCCCAGGCUUAACCUGGGAACUGCAUCCGAUACUGGCUGGCUUGAAUUCGGGAGAGGGAUGCAGAAUUCCAGGUGUAGCGGUGAAAUGCGUAGAUAUCUGGAGGAAUACCGGUGGCGAAGGCGGCAUCCUGGACCGGCAUUGACGCUGAGGCGCGAAAGCCAGGGGAGCAAAGCGGG
rnacentral:rRNA from 1 species